AGGGAUUGCCUCAGUAACGGCGAGUGAAGCGGCAACAGCUCAAAUUUGAAAUCUGGCUCCUUCGGGGUCCGAGUUGUAAUUUGCAGAGGAUGCGUCGGGUACGGGUCCCUACCGAGUUCCCUGGAACGGGACGCCAUAGAGGGUGAGAGCCCCGUCUGGUAGGAUACCCAGCCCAUGUGACGCUCCCUCGACGAGUCGAGUAGUUUGGGAAUGCUGCUCUAACGGGAGGUAUACUCCUUCCAAAGCUAAAUACCGGCUGGAGACCGAUAGCGCACAAGUAGAGUGAUCGAAAGAUGAAAAGCACUUUGAAAAGAGAGUCAAACAGCACGUGAAAUUGUUAAAAGGGAAGCACUCGCUACCAGACUUGGGUUCGGCGGUUCAACCGGGGCCACGCCCCGGGGCAUUCCGCCGGCUCAGGCCAGCAUCAGCUUUCCGUCGGGGGCAAAGACGUCGGGAAUGUAGCUCCUCCUAGGGGGAGUGUUAUAGCCCGGCGUGUCAUACCCUUCGGGGGGCUGAGGUACGCGCUUCUGCAAGGAUGCUGGCGUAAUGGUAGCUAGUGACCCGUCUUGAAAACGAACAAA
rnacentral:rRNA from 1 species